CCUACGGUCGGCUGCAGUGGGGAAUAUUGCGCAAUGGGCGAAAGCCUGACGCAGCGACGCCGCGUGAGGGAUGAAGGUCUUCGGAUCGUAAACCUCUGUCAGCAGGGAAGAACGGUCACUGUGCUAAUCAGCAGUGAAUUGACGGUACCUGCAAAGGAAGCACCGGCUAACUCCGUGCCAGCAGCCGCGGUAAUACGGAGGGUGCGAGCGUUAAUCGGAAUUACUGGGCGUAAAGCGCUCGUAGGCGGUAUGUCAAGUCAAGGGUGAAAGCCCCGCGCUCAACGUGGGAACUGCCUUUGAAACUGGCUAGCUGGAGUGUGUGUGAGGAUAGUGGAAUUUCAGGUGUAGGAGUGAAAUGCGUAGAUAUCAGGAGGAACAUCAGUUGCGAAGGCGACUAUCUGGCACAUAACUGACGCUGAGGAGCGAAAGCGUGGGUAGCAAACAGGAUUAGAUACCCUGGUAGUC
rnacentral:rRNA from 1 species